GUGGGGAAUUUUGGACAAUGGGGGCAACCCUGAUCCAGCAAUGCCGCGUGCAGGAAGAAGGCCUUCGGGUUGUAAACUGCUUUUGUACGGAACGAAACGGUCCUGGUUAAUACCUGGGGCUAAUGACGGUACCGUAAGAAUAAGCACCGGCUAACUACGUGCCAGCAGCCGCGGUAAUACGUAGGGUGCAAGCGUUAAUCGGAAUUACUGGGCGUAAAGCGUGCGCAGGCGGUUUUGUAAGACAGGCGUGAAAUCCCCGGGCUCAACCUGGGAAUGGCGCUUGUGACUGCAAGGCUGGAGUGCGGCAGAGGGGGAUGGAAGUCCGCGUGUAGCAGUGAAAUGCGUAGAUAUGCGGAGGAACACCGAUGGCGAAGGCAAUCCCCUGGGCCUGCACUGACGCUCAUGCACGAAAGCGUGGGGAGCAAACAGGAUUAGAUACCCGAGUAGUCC
rnacentral:rRNA from 1 species